rnacentral:rRNA from 1 species
UGUGUAGGUGGCCAUGUAAGUCAGGUGUGAAAGCCCCGGGCUCAACCCGGGAAGUGCAUUUGAUACUGCGUGGCUUGAGUACCGAAGAGGGUAGUGGAAUUCCAGGUGUAGUGGUGAAAUACGUAGAUAUCUGGAGGAACACCGGUGGCGAAGGCGGCUACCUGGUCGAGUACUGACACUAAGACACGAAAGCAUGAGGAUCAAACA